CUCUUAAUUCAAUUGCUAUUGAUUUGCCUAAAACGCUACAAAAACAUUGUUAGGUUAGGAAUGCUUCUUACUGGUCACAUGGUAUUUAAAUUGUAACGGUUUGUAGCUUAAAUGUCAAUUUAAAUAUAUAUUUAUUUUUCAAAUGAAAUCCAGCUCCAUUCAUGAGGGUAGUAUCCAGUCAAUAUUGUAUGUAUGGUGAAGUGAGGCUAUUAGUUUGAAUUCCAAACGUGUAAAUUGAGUCGAUUCACUGGAUUCGCACAAACCUGAAUAAACCCAUAUCGUGGUAUGUCACUAGUGAUCAAUCAACUAUGAGAAUAUCACUCGAAGUCUGAAGU
rnacentral:lncRNA from 1 species